AUUGAACGCUGGCGGCAGGCCUAACACAUGCAAGUCGAACGGUAACAGGAAGAAGCUUGCUUCUUUGCUGGCGAGUGGCGGACGGGUGAGUAAUGUCUGGGAAACUGCCUGAUGGAGGGGGAUAACUACUGGAAACGGUAGCUAAUACCGCAUAACGUCGCAAAACCAAAGAGGGGGACCUUCGGGCCUCUUGCCAUCGGAUGUGCCCAGAUGGGAUUAGCUAGUAGGUGGGGUAACGGCUCACCUAGGCGACGAUCCCUAGCUGGUCUGAGAGGAUGACCAGCCACACUGGAACUGAGACACGGUCCAGACUCCUACGGGAGGCAGCAGUGGGGAAUACUGCACAAUGGGCGCAAGCCUGAUGCAGCCAUGCCGCGUGUAUGAAGAAGGCCUUCGGGUUGUAAAGUACUUUCAGCGGGGAGGAAGGGAGUAAAGUUAAUACCUUUGCUCAUUGACGUUACCCGCAGAAGAAGCACCGGCUAACUCCGUG
rnacentral:rRNA from 1 species